rnacentral:rRNA from 1 species
AUUGAACGCUGGCGGCAGGCCUAACACAUGCAAGUCGAACGAGCGGCGGACGGGUGAGUAAUGUCUGGGUAACUGCCUGAUGGCGGGGGAUAACGACUGGAAACGGGAGCUAAUACCGCAUACCAUCAGAUGUGCCCAGAUGGGAUUAGCUAGUUGGUGGGGUAACGGCUCACCUCGGCGACGAUCCCUAGCUGGUCUGAGAGGAUGACCGGCCACACUGGAACUGAGACACGGUCCAGACUCCUACGGGAGGCAGCAGUGGGGAAUAUUGGACAAUGGGCGCGAGCCUGAUGCAGCCAUGCCGCGUGUGUGAAGGAGGCCUUGGGGUUGUAAAGCACUUUCAGCGGGGAGGCGGUACCCGCAGAAGAAGCACCGGCUAACUCCGUGCCAGCAGCCGCGGUAAUAC